ACCUUUAUGGUUCGUGUAUGGACAUAAAGCUGGGUUUUUUUUUUUUUUUUGGUGGGGACAGCAGUGAAAUGAAGAGCCAUUAAGAUAGAUUUUCGUUGUUCACUGAAAAACUCUUUUGUAUCCUGCAUAUUUUAUAUUCUGUGUGACAAGUUUGAAAUACUUUCUUCUGUUCUAUCAUACAAAAUCCCAAGAAUUGACAAAAACCUUUAUGGCCGUAAAGUCCAUAAAGGUGACUGAAAGUGAAAACAUGGAACAUCCACCUCAGCAAUUUGGUUCAGCCUGUUUGAUGACAACUCCAACUACUGCAGCCUCCGCAAUAUCAUCACUGGAAGUGGACUGGACAAAGCUUCAGGCUUCCUGGAGUUGACCAAUGACUGGCUCUGUCUUGGCUGCGAACAGUCGGCCUGUUGAACCUUCCCAAGUCCUAAAAUGAGUGUGGAAAUUUCAAUUAUAUCAUAUAAUUCAGCAAAUCUGUUAAAUAAAAGCCUCCUUUGUGUUUUUGUCAUUUCACCACUGACCAUCUUUACUGUGACAACCAUGCUUCCAGGACUAAAGCGGAACAAUCUGCUGCACAGUCAUAGCUGGAGGUUGGAUUUAUGAUUAGUAUUUGAGCUUUAAACCUUUAUAAGCUAAAGGGUUCAUUAAAAAGUGUGUUCUGUACAAUAAUAUUCUGACAUGAUGGAAAACCAGAAAGGGCACCAAAAAAAUAAAGGU